rnacentral:rRNA from 1 species
UUCGUAGGGUGCGAGCGUUGUCCGGAAUUAUUGGGCGUAAAGAGCUCGUAGGCGGUUUGUCGCGUCUGCCGUGAAAGUCCGGGGCUCAACUCCGGAUCUGCGGUGGGUACGGGCAGACUAGAGUGAUGUAGGGGAGACUGGAAUUCCUGGUGUAGCGGUGAAAUGCGCAGAUAUCAGGAGGAACACCGAUGGCGAAGGCAGGUCUCUGGGCAUUAACUGACGCUGAGACGCGAAAGCGUGGGGAGCAAACAGG